UACGUAGGGUGCGAGCGUUAAUCGGAAUUACUGGGCGUAAAGCGUGCGCAGGCUGUUUUGUAAGUCAGAUGUGAAAUCCCUGGGCUCAACCUAGGAACUGCGUUUGAAACUACAAGGCUAGAGUGUAGCAGAGGGGGGUAGAAUUCCACGUGUAGCAGUGAAAUGCGUAGAGAUGUGGAGGAAUAACAAUGGCGAAGGCAGCCCCCUGGGUUAACACUGACGCUCAUGCACGAAAGCGUGGGGAGCAAACAGG
rnacentral:rRNA from 1 species